rnacentral:rRNA from 1 species
UACGUAGGGGGCGAGCGUUGUCCGGAGUUACUGGGCGUAAAGGGCGUGCAGGCGGUGCAGUAAGUUUAGAGUGACAGUUCCCGGCUCAACUGGGGAAGGCCUCUGAAAACUGCUGGACUUGAGGGCCAGAGAGGGACAUAGAAUUCCGGGUGGAGUGGUGAAAUGCGUAGAUAUCGGGAGGAACACCAGUGGCGAAGGCGGCUACCUGGACCAGCACUGACACUGAGGCACGAAAGCGUGGGGAGCAAACAGG